GGUGGCUCAGUGAUAGAGUGCUUGCCUUGCAUGCAUGAGGUCCUGGGUUCGAAUCCUCAGCACCA
rnacentral:tRNA from 1 species